rnacentral:lncRNA from 1 species
AGCAUUACAGAGAAAAGAGGGGAGCAUUACAGAGACAAGAGGGGAAAGAGCAUUACAGAGACAAGAGUGGAAAGAGCAUUACAGAGAAAAGAGGGGGUAGAGCAUUACAGAGACAAGAGGGGAGAGAGCAUUACAGAGACAAGAGGGGAAAGAGCAUUACAGAGACAAGAGGGGGUAGAGCAUUACAGAGACAAGAGGGGGAAGAGCAUUAAAGAGACAAGAGUGGAAAGAGCAUUACAGAGAAAAGAGGGGGUAGAGCAUUACAGAGACAAGAGGGGGUAUAGCAUUACAGAGACAAGAGGGGAGAGAGCAUUACAGAGACAAGAGGGGGUAGAGCAUUACAGAGAAAAGAGUGGAGGGAGCAUUCCAGAGACAAGAGGGGAAAGAGCAUUACAGAGACACAAGGGGUUAGAGCAUUACAGAGAAAAGAGUGGAGGGAGCAUUCCAGAGACAAGAGGGGAAAGAGCAUUACAGAGACAAGAGGGGGUAGAGCAUUACAGAGACAAGAGGGGAAAGAGCAUUACAGAGACAAGAGUGGAGGGAGCAUUCCAGAGACAAGAGGGGAAAGAGCAUUCCAGAGACAAGAGGGGAAGGAGCAUUACAGAGACAAGAGGGGAAAGAUCAUUACAGAGACAAGAGGGGAAAGAGCAUUACAGAGACAAGAGUGGAAAGAGCAUUACAGAGACAAGAGUGGAGGGAGCAUUCCAGAGACAAGAGGGGAAAGAGCAUUGCAGAGACAAGAGGGGAAAGAGCAUUACAGAGAAAAGAGGGGAGAGAGCAUUACAGAGACAAGAGGGGGUAGAGCAUUACAGAGACAAGAGGGGAAAGAGAGCAUUACAGAGAAGGGGGGGAGAGAGAGUUACAGAGAAAAGAGGGGGAAGAGCAUUACAGAGAAAAGAGGGGGGAAAGAGAGCAUUACAGAGAAGAGGGGGGAGAAGAGAGCAUUACAGAGAGGAGGGGGAGAAGAGAGCAUUACAGAGAGUAGGGGGAGAAGAGAGCAUUACAGAGAAGAGAAGGGGAAGAGAGCAUUACAGAGAAAAGAGGGGGGAAGAGAGCAUUACAUAGAAGAGGGGGGAGAGAGCAUUACAGAGAAGAGGGGGGAGAAGAGAGCAUUACAGAGAAAAGAGGGGAAGAGAGCAUUACAGAGAAAAGAGGGGGGGAAGAGAACAUUACAGAGAAAAGAGGGGGAGAAGAGACCAUUACAUUGAAGAGGGGGGAGAAGAGAGCAUUACUGAGAUGAGGGGGGGAAGAGAGAGCAUUACUG